rnacentral:miRNA from 1 species
UUACCUAUUCCACCAAUUCCAU